GUCUGGCUGCAGCCCGCCUCUCUCAGUACCCUGCGCCGCUCUUCUCAGUACCCAUCCCGCAGACAGGAAAUGACGCAACACCGCAGCUCUCAGUCCCCUCAGACCGGAAAUGUCGUCAACCCUUGCGACGAAAACAAGUUACGUUAUUUCACCUCUCGCGAAAAAAACACGCUGCAAGAUCACCACCCCAUUGGGAAGAAACUAAAUCACGACCCCCAAAUGGUAGUCUUCCCAUGCAGAUACAGGGAUGUCACACAGAUCCAAAUGGAAACAGGACCAAUGGUGACAAUAUAAGACCAUGCCGAGCUUCAUGGACGGUUCAAACUCAUCCUGCCCAGGAACGGCUGAAAACGUUGACAGUCAAUCAACAGGGGGACAUGGAAAGAG